CUUUGCUGAGGGAGCCUCGAAUGGAUUUUCUGUGCAUGGAAGGUAUUCAUGGAAAAAGGAGAGAUGGUGCAUUUCCCAAAAUUCUUAAGAAGAGAGACAAACAUGCUCCAAGAAAAUUGAAGCCGAUUCUACCCAUUUAAUCAUCACCCCACACUCUCAAACCAAGUGCCCAAGUGCCUGCUGAGAAGCCAGACUCCAUUUCCCUUAAAAUUUGGAGAAGGCAGAACCCACCUUAAUCUGUGGAACGUGGUCAUCCAAGGACAAACCCACGUCCCACCCAGAGCAUCGUUGGUGAGAUUUAAAUUGAUGCAAGGUGGAAAUGUUCGAGAGAAGGAAAUUGUGAAAAA